rnacentral:rRNA from 1 species
GGCGUUAAGUUGCAGGGUAUAGACCCGAAACCCGGUGAUCUAGCCAUGGGCAGGUUGAAGGUUGGGUAACACUAACUGGAGGACCGAACCGACUAAUGUUGAAAAAUUAGCGGAUGACCUGUGGCUGGGGGUGAAAGGCCAAUCAAACCGGGAGAUAGCUGGUUCUCCCCGAAAGCUAUUUAGGUAGCGCCUCGUGAACUCAUCUCCGGGGGUAGAGCACUGUUUCGGCUAGGGGGCCAUCCCGGCUUACCAACCCGAUGCAAACUGCGAAUACCGGAGAAUGUUAUCACGGGAGACACACGGCGGGUGCUAACGUCCGUCGUGAAGAGGGAAACAACCCAGACCGCCAGCUAAGGUCCCAAAGUCAUGGUUAAGUGGGAAACGAUGUGGGAAGGCCCAGACAGCCAGGAUGUUGGCUUAGAAGCAGCCAUCAUUUAAAGAAAGCGUAAUAGCUCACUGGUCGAGUCGGCCUGCGCGGAAGAUGUAACGGGGCUAAACCAUGCACCGAAGCUGCGGCAGCGACGCUGAUGCGUUGUUGGGUAGGGGAGCGUUCUGUAAGCCUGCGAAGGUGGCCUGUGAGGGUUGCUGGAGGUAUCAGAAGUGCGAAUGCUGACAUAAGUAACGAUAAAGCGGGUGAAAAGCCCGCUCGCCGGAAGACCAAGGGUUCCUGUCCAACGUUAAUCGGGGCAGGGUGAGUCGACCCCUAAGGCGAGGCCGAAAGGCGUAGUCGAUGGGAAACGGGUUAAUAUUCCCGUACUUGGUGUUACUGCGAAGGGGGGACGGAGAAGGCUAUGUUGGCCGGGCGACGGUU